rnacentral:rRNA from 1 species
CCGGCGCACGGGUGAGUAACACGUAUCCAACCUUCCGUUUACUCAGGGAUAGCCUUUCGAAAGAAAGAUUAAUACCUGAUAGUAUGGUGAGAUUGCAUGAUAGCACCAUUAAAGAUUUAUUGGUAAACGAUGGGGAUGCGUUCCAUUAGGUAGUAGGCGGGGUAACGGCCCACCUAGCCGACGAUGGAUAGGGGUUCUGAGAGGAAGGUCCCCCACAUUGGAACUGAGACACGGUCCAAACUCCUACGGGAGGCAGCAGUGAGGAAUAUUGGUCAAUGGGCGAGAGCCUGAACCAGCCAAGUAGCGUGAAGGAUGAAGGUCCUACGGAUUGUAAACUUCUUUUAUACGGGAAUAAAGUAUCCUACGUGUAGGAUUUUGUAUGUACCGUAUGAAUAAGCAUCGGCUAACUCCGUGCCAGCAGCCGCGGUAAUACGGAGGAUGCGAGCGUUAUCCGGAUUUAUUGGGUUUAAAGGGAGCGCAGACGGGAGAUUAAGUCAGUUGUGAAAGUUUGCGGCUCAACCGUAAAAUUGCAGUUGAUACUGGUUUCCUUGAGUGCAGUUGAGGCAGGCGGAAUUCGUGGUGUAGCGGUGAAAUGCUUAGAUAUCACGAAGAACCCCGAUUGCGAAGGCAGCUUGCUA